UUAGGAAAAUUUGCCAAUGGGGGAAACCCUGAGCGAGUAACGCCGCGUGGAGGACGACGGCCUUCGGGUUGUAAACUCCUUUUCUGUGGGACGAUAGUGACGGUACCACAGGAAUAAGCCCCGGCUAACUACGUGCCAGCAGCCGCGGUAAUACGUAGGGGGCGAGCGUUGUCCGGAAUUACUGGGCGUAAAGAGCGCGUAGGCGGCGCCAUAAGUCUUGUGUGAAAGCCCCCGGCUCAACUGGGGAGGGUCGCGAGAAACUAUGGUGCUGGAGUGUCGGAGAGGGAAGUGGAAGUCCCGGAGUAGGGGUGAAAUCCGUAGAUACCGGACCGAACACCAGUGGCGAAGGCGACUUCCUGGCCGACGACUGACGCUGAGGCGCGAAAGCGUGGGGAGCGAACGGGAUUAGAUACCCCCGUAGUCC
rnacentral:rRNA from 1 species